UUAGAUUAAAGUCUAAUAGAUAAUAAGUUUUCAUAAAUUUUAUUUUUUAUAUAUAUUCUUUCUAAUCCUUAACUUGUUAUUUGUGAGCAAGUUUGUGUUCGGCUCAUUAAAAAAUGAGAACACACAUUAAAAAUGAGCCAAACAUGAGAAGCAUUUUUUGGCUCAAUACUUUAACGAGCCAACUCAUGUUGAAACGUGCUGAACACAAGCUAGUUGACACCCCUAAUCUGGAUGUUAUGUUUAGUUUGUUCAAAUCUAGUUAAUUAUGACUAGUGUACAAUGAUCGGAAAUACGAAUUAAUUUAUCUUAAUAUUUCAGAUGACUAGUAAUUCGGCAUUUGUUCUGCAUGCCUCUUAACUUCGUUAACUUGGUCAAUUUAUUUAUUUAGAGAUGGGUGUUUUGAUCACAACCGGCUUAAUUGGAGGUGGUCCAAAUGUAACAAAAAAAAUGCAUAAUUAAUUAGGUACUUAUGGUCACUCGGAGUUUUUCACGAGUCAAAUCCGGUGGAAUUACAUAUAUUUCUCACUAUAAAAAAAUGUGGCCGAGAAAACGGCAUAUAAAGCGCGAAAGCUAAAAUUAUUUAAAUUGUUCUUUCUUUCGUUUUUCAUUUCGAAAAUCACCGGCUUUUGCUUUAAAGAAAAUCUAUUAGGAUGUUUAUUGAAAAGCUGUGAGUGCUAACUCCUUCACAAGCUCGAUUGAGAUAGCACUAGCUACUGCAGCAGUAGAAGCAAAGAGGCUUAUAGUGUCGCCAAAAGUAUUGAUCAUUUUUACAACUUCCAAGAUUUAUUGUUUGAUCAUCUUUCGGAUAUUUGGUUGACGAGUUUUGGAUCAAGAAAAUUUUUCGUAACCAAGCGGUUGGCCGAUGAUCGAUCCUAUUUCCAGAAAGAAAAAGCGAUUUGCUUGCACCUCAGAAAGUACAAGAAAUUCAGGGUGGGCGGUGUAUGCAUGUAUGUAUCUGGUGUUCUUUUUCCGUUGCGUCAAAUUCACGUUGGGCGAUCGCAUCUGAAACCUCUCAUUCAUCGCAACUUUGGUGUUAGAAACAGCUAGCAUUUGGUUGUGUUUUUCAGAGUCUUUGUGGUCCUUUGCAUUGGAUUCUUGCUUUUACAUGUGAUGCUUUGUUUGAUUGUAAAUGGUUUUGUUGUUGUCGUUGUGGUCAAUGUCCUCCUUUCAUACUAUUUUAUGAUCUUUCUCUCUAUUUUGUGCUAAUUUUAGGUAAACAUGCAUGGAGUCACUGCAAAUAUAGGCCAUGUAAAAUAGGACCCUCAAUUUCAUUGUUCUUUUUCAAUAGACACCUUCUGAACUUUAUUUAUUUCGUUCGGGUUAUUUCAGUUUAUUGAAUUGGGAUUUUGUUAAAACUAAACUCUCUGGGAACUAAAAUUCUAUUGUUUCCUGACAUCAUGUACUGAUUGAAGCAUCUCAAAAUCGACAAUUUGAGUCUACAUUGCUUAAAUUUUUUGUUUGAAAAUAAUUUAAGCUAUAUAGAUCAAGGUUCAUACCUUUGAUCUUAAAUUGAUGAAUCCUAUGAUUCAUUUUCAUAAUGUUGUUAAAGUUCAUUCUGCAGCUGCUUGAUGAACCAUAAAAUAAUCUUUAAAAAUCAGAAAAUUUGGUUCACUUACAAUACCCAAAAUCAUAUUUAUCAGUGUAGAUUGUUGAUCCAGAUGUCCUUUCAUCGGAAGGAGACCACUCAAUAGGAUAAAGAACUGCGUUGUCUUAGAAGGAUAGUAGCUAGGGGUGGAAACAAGCUGAGCUUGAGCAAGCUUACCUCAGCUUAAGCUUGAUUUAAAAUUAAUUUUAAGCCUAAAUUUAGUAGGCUCAAGCUUGGCUUGAAAUUAAUUCGAGCCGAAUUCGAACGAGCCUAAUUUCGAGUUGAGCGCGCUCGAGACCUAAACGAGCCGUUUGAAAAUCUUAACAUCAUAUAAUUUAUAGUUUAAAUGUUAUAUAACAUUAUCUAAAAUUGAUAUAAAAAUAUGUCCAAUAGUUCAACAUAUAAAAUAAAUACAUGAAUACGGUAUAAUAAUAUUACAAAAAAUAAUUUACAGAAAGCGACUAUGUGAACAAGUGAAAGAGAGGGAGAGAAAGAGUAAUUAGAGUAGAGUUUUGCUUGUUUGGUUUUGUGGGCCAUCAAAUAUGCCCAAUAAAUAAAACUCUAUACACAUAUAAUUAAAAUACGUAAUAUAUAUUAUUAUAUAUAAUUAAAAUAUAUAUUAUAUGUAAUUAUAUAUAUAUUUAUAAAUAUUAUAUAUAUAAAGAGAGAGAGAGAGAAAGUACGUCUCCCGUAUUUUCGAAAGUACGGAGGCUUCCGUACUUAUAAGUUGUUUUCGAUGAUAGAAUAUAUGAUUUGAUAAUUGGUUCCGUUAGGUAUAAUUUAUAUUAUUGAAACUAUGUAGAAAUCAAAUUUUAUAAUUUUUUAAUAUCAUUACCAAGCGAUUAUAGGGUCUCAAAAAUGACUAUUUUAACGGCCGAUGUGGCACGUUUUUAAGUUCAACGGUUUAGAAAUAUCCAAAUUACAUAAAAAUUUAAUAAAAAAUUCUACUUAAUAUCAAAAUUAAGAACAAUACUUUCGAUUUGAAAUUUAAGUUCUUUAUUAUUAUUUUUUAUGAAAUUUUUAUUUUCAGCCGUUUAUUUUGAGACUACUCGUUCACUAGGCAAACGAAGUAAAAAAAAUUAUGAAAUUUGAUUUCUAGAUGGUUCCAACAGCGUAGAUCAAAAAAUCCAAAAUUUGUGUAUACACCCUUCUAAAUA
rnacentral:lncRNA from 1 species